AUUGAACGCUGGCGGCAUGCCUUACACAUGCAAGUCGAACGGUAACAGGUCUUCGGAUGCUGACGAGUGGCGAACGGGUGAGUAAUACAUCGGAACGUGCCUAGUCGUGGGGGAUAACUACUCGAAAGAGUGGCUAAUACCGCAUGAGAUCUACGGAAGAAAGCAGGGGAUCGCAAGACAUUGUGAAACUAGAGCGGCCGAUGGCAGAUUAGGUAGUUGGUGGGAUAAAAGCUUACCAAGCCGACGAUCUGUAGCUGGUCUGAGAGGACGAUCAGCCACACUGGGACUGAGACACGGCCCAGACUCCUACGGGAGGCAGCAGUGGGGAAUUUUGAACAAUGGGCGAAAGCCUGAUCCAGCAAUGCCGCGUGCAGGAUGAAAGCCUUCGGGUUGUAAACUGCUUUUGUACGGAACGAAAAGCCCCGGGUUAAUACCCUGGGGUCAUGACGGUACCGUAAGAAUAAGCACCGGCUAACUACGUGCCAGCAGCCGCGGUAA
rnacentral:rRNA from 1 species